rnacentral:tRNA from 1 species
CAGGGAGACAACAAAAUGUUUAAUAUUAUUAUUUUGUCACCUUAGGUCGAUCGGUAUCUCACGUUUUUAAUUUAUUAAGAAUUUCAUUUCCUAAGUUUUUCUAGGUCACACCCAUUAUUUUUCCUGGGCCAUUAGCUCAGGUGGUUAGAGCGCACCCCUGAUAAGGGUGAGGUCCCUGGUUCAAGUCCAGGAUGGCCCAUAUCUCUAUGUUGGGGGUAUAGCUCAGUUGGUAGAGCGCCUGCUUUGCAAGCAGGAUGUCAGCGGUUCGAGUCCGCUUACCUCCACUGAUCACCACCUCUUCCAUAACUGGUAGAAAGGAAAUGUUUUGAGUUGUGAUCAAAUUCUGAAAGAAUCUAGCUUCCUAAUGAAAUCAUUAAGAUGCUGGACUCAUUGAAUUAAUUUCAUUGUUUUCAGAGAACCUUGACAACUGCAUAGAUUAUUUUUAAAGACAAUAAGCAUCUUUAAUGAUGCAGAUUUAUUAUUUGUGCAAAUGCAUUAAUAACAAUUCUAUUAAGCUGAUGCUUCAAUAUUUGAAGUUAUU